UGGCAUAGCCAUAUCACCCAGCAGGCCAAGAUCAGUUUGUCAAUGAAGAUAAGCAAGGCUGAGCCUGGUCAGUACCUGGAUGGGGGAUCACAUGGGAAAACUAGGUUGCUGUUGGAA
ensembl:rRNA 5S_rRNA 5S ribosomal RNA